rnacentral:rRNA from 1 species
AACGAACGCUGGCGGCGUGGAUUAGGCAUGCAAGUCGAGCGAGAAAGGGGUCUUCGGACCCUGAGUAAAGCGGCGAACUGGUGAGUAACAGGUGGGUAAUGUGCCCUGAAGUGGGGGAUAACACCGGGAAACCGGUGCUAAUACCGCAUGUGACCCUCGGGACCCCGGUCCUGUGGGUUAAAGGCCUUGGUCGCUUCAGGAUCGGCCCGCCCCCGAUUAGCUAGUUGGUGAGGUCAUGGCUCACCAAGGCGACGAUCGGUAGCUGGUCUGAGAGGAUGGUCAGCCACACUGGGACUGAGAUACGGCCCAGACUCCUACGGGAGGCUG